rnacentral:rRNA from 1 species
AUUGAACGCUGGCGGCAUGCUUUACACAUGCAAGUCGAACGGUAACAGGCCGCAAGGUGCUGACGAGUGGCGAACGGGUGAGUAAUGCAUCGGAACGUGCCCAGUCGUGGGGGAUAACGCAGCGAAAGCUGCGCUAAUACCGCAUACGAUCUAUGGAUGAAAGCGGGGGACCGAAAGGCCUCGCGCGAUUGGAGCGGCCGAUGUCAGAUUAGGUAGUUGGUGAGGUAAAGGCUCACCAAGCCAACGAUCUGUAGCUGGUCUGAGAGGACGACCAGCCACACUGGGACUGAGACACGGCCCAGACUCCUACGGGAGGCAGCAGUGGGGAAUUUUGGACAAUGGGCGCAAGCCUGAUCCAGCAAUGCCGCGUGCAGGAAGAAGGCCUUCGGGUUGUAAACUGCUUCUGUACGGAACGAAACGGUCCGGGUUAAUACCCUGGGCUAAUGACGGUACCGUAAGAAUAAGCACCGGCUAACUACGUGCCAGCCGCCGCCGUAACAC